rnacentral:rRNA from 1 species
AUCCUGGCUCAGGAUGAACGCUAGCUACAGGCUUAACACAUGCAAGUCGAGGGGAAACGAUGCGGAAGCUUGCUUCUGCAGGCGUCGACCGGCGCACGGGUGAGUAACGCGUAUCCAACCUGCCCCGAGGUAAGGAAUAAUCCGUAGAAAUGCGGUCUAAUACCUUAUGUGUUCCGAAGAGGACAUCUGAUUUGGAAUAAAGAUUUAUCGCCAUGGGAUGGGGAUGCGUCUGAUUAGAUUGUUGGCGGGGCAACGGCCCACCAAGUCAUCGAUCAGUAGGGGUUCUGAGAGGAAAGUCCCCCACAUUGGAACUGAGACACGGUCCAAACUCCUACGGGAGGCAGCAGUGAGGAAUAUUGGUCAAUGGAUGAGAAUCUGAACCAGCCAAGUAGCGUGCAGGAUGACGGCCCUAUGGGUUGUAAACUGCUUUUGUACGGGGAUAAAGGAAGCUACGUGUAGCUUUUGCAGGUACCGUACGAAUAAGGACCGGCUAAUUCCGUGCC